UACGUAGGGACCAAGCGUUGUUCGGAUUUACUGGGCGUAAAGCGCGCGUAGGCGGUCAUUUAAGUUCGGGGUGAAAGGUUCAACGCUCAACGUGAACAGUGCCUUGAAUACUGGGUGACUUGAGUUCGGGAGAGGGCAGUGGAAUUCCUGGUGUAGCGGUGAAAUGCGUAGAUAUCAGGAGGAACACCGAUGGCGAAGGCAGCUGCCUGGCCUAGAACUGACGCUGAGGUGCGAAAGCGUGGGGAGCGAACAGG
rnacentral:rRNA from 1 species